rnacentral:rRNA from 1 species
GGAGUUCGAUCCUGGCUCAGGAUGAACGCUGGCGGCAGCUUUACCACAUGGCAAGUCGAACGGGAAGUGGUAGUUCCAGGGGCGACGGGUGGAACGGCUUAAGAACCUGCCCUUGGGCGGGGAGGGGAACAAACAACUGGAAACGGUUGCUAACCCCGUAGGCUGAGGAGCAAAGGAGAAAUCCGCCCAAGGAGGGGCUCGCGUUGAUUAGCUAGUUGGUGAGGCAAUAGCUUACACGAGGCGAUGUCAGAUUAGACUGGUCCGAGGAGUGAUGAAUCAGCACACUGGGACUGAGACACGGCCCAGACUCCUAGGGAGCGGCAGCAGUGGGGAAUUUUCCGCAAUGGGGCGACAGCCUGACGGACGGCAAUGCGCGGAGGUGGAAUGCCUCCGGGUCGUCAACUUCUUUUCGAGAAGAAACAAUGACGGUAUCUGAGGAAUAAGAAUCGGCAAUAUUUGCCAGCAGCCGCGGUAAGACAGAGGAUGCAAGCUUACCGGAAUGAUUGGGCACGGUAAGCGUCUGUAGGUGGCUUUUCAAGUCCGCCGUCAAAUCCCAGGGCUCAACCCUGGACAGGCGGUUUUGGAAACUACCAAGCUGGAGUACGGUAGGGGCAGAGGGACUUUCCGGGGAGCGGUUGAUGAAAUGCAUUGAGAUCGGAAAGAACACCAACGGCGAAAGCACUAGCUGGGCCGACACGCCACUGUGAGAGACGAAAGCUAGGGGAGCAAAGGGAUUAGAGACCCCAGUAGUCAUAGAGUAAACGAGGUACUAGGUGCUGUAGCGACUAGACCCGUGCGCAGUGCUGUAGCUACGCGUUAAGUAUCCCGCCUGGGGGUACGUUCGCAAGAAUGAAACUCAAAGGAAUUGAGGGGGGGGCCCGCACAAGCGGUGGAGCAUGUGGUUUAAUUCGAUGCAAAGCGAAGAACCUUACCGGGCUGACAUGCCGCGAAUCCUCUUGAAAGAGAGGGGUGCCCUCGGAACGCGGACACAUGUGGGGCAGGGCUGUCGUCAGCCUCGUGCCGUAAGGGGUUGGGUUAAGUCUCGCAACGAGCGCAACCCUCGUGUUUAGUUGCCACUAUGGUUUGGAACACUGAAACAGACCGCCGGUGUUAAGCGAGGAAGGAGAGGAUGCGGCAAAGUCAUCAGCCCCUUUAGCAUGGGCGACACAAGUGCUACACUGGGCGGGAGACAAAGGGUCGCGAUCUCGCGAGGGGAGCUAAACUCCAAAAACCGUCCUAAGUUCGGAUUGCAGGCUGCAACUCGCCUGCAUGAAGAGGAAUCGCUAGUAAUCGCGGUCAGCCAUACGGCGGGGAUGAACCGUUCCCGGGCCUUGUACACACCGCCCGUCACACUAUAGAGAGCUGGCCAGGUUUGAAGUCAUUACCUCAACCGUAAGGAGGGGGAUGCCUAAGGCUGGCUUGCGACUGGAGUGAAGCCUCGUCACAAUGUGCCCGUACUGGAAGGUGCGGCUG